UCUACUUUUAACUGGGAGAGGAUGCCUAGAAAGAAAAAAAUAGGCGUAAAAAAAGGCGAAAGUGUUUACUGAAGGUAAUUCUUGUGACGUAAACCGCCCUAUAAAUGGAAAACCAAAACCUUAAGGUUUACAAAAAAAAGGGGAAGUGAAACAUCUCAAUACCCUUUCUUAAAUCAACCGAGGAUGUGUAAGUAGUGGUGAGCGAAAGCACAAAAAGGCUAACACAAAAAUGAGUCCCUAUAAAUAUCCAUAUUUAAUAGGCAUAUCAAAAAUCCAUGUUAAGGGGAUAUUAAACCCCGUCAUCCAUUUUUUUUUUGUAUUAAAGUAAAACAAUGCAGGCAAACUUUGUUUGACAACUGGGGGACCACCCUCAAAGCCUAAUAAUAAUUUUCUUAUCGAUAGUGAACUAGUACUGUGAAGGAAAGGUGAAAAAGACGUUGCGACUGUGAAAUUAACCUAAAACUCCUAGUUUUAACCAAAGCUGUAUAACAAGUCAUGGUUUACCUUUUGUAUAAUGGGCAAGUGACUUUUAAGUAAAAGCAAGCUUAAGAUAAAAUGUAGGCGAAGAAAACUCAAGUCCUAAAAGGCACAAAAAAGUUUUUUCUUAAAGACCCGAAACCAACUGAUCUAAACUUGAGCAGGCUGAAAUUAAAGCGGCAACGUUUUUUGGAGGGCCGAACCCGUGUGUGUGGCAAAAUACUGGGAUGACUUGAGUUUAGGGGUGAAAGGCUAAUCAAAGUUGGUUAUAGCUGGAUUUCUGCGAAAUCUAUUUUAGUAGAGCGUUUUAGUUAAAUAAUUGGGGGUAGAGCACUGUGUAGAGAAUGGGGAGAUUUUUCUCUUACUGAACCUUGGCAAACUCCGAAUACCAAUGUUUUAUCUAAAGCAGACAGAGUUUGAAUGAUAAAAUUCAUACUCGAGAGGGAAACAGCCCAGACUGAAUGAUAAGGCCCGUAAAAUAGUUUCAGUGAAGAAAGCGACUUCUUUUUUAAGACAAUCAGCAGGUAGGCUUGGAAGCAGCCAUCCUUUAAAGAAAGCGUAACAGCUCACUGGUUUAGAGAUUAAGUCCUGCAAAUUUUUUGGACUUAUAGCUAUUGCCGAAGCAUCAGACGAUUUUUCGUGGUAGCAGAACAUUUUGUAAAUAAAACUGAUGCUGAAAAUCUAUCAGGUUAAUAUCAAAAGUGAGAAUACUUGCAUGAGUAGCACAAAACAGUAUUUAAAGACUGUGGCCGUAAAUCCAAGGUUUCCAAAUUUUUUUUGGCAUAAAAAACGGUCCCUAAGCAUUUAAGCUAAAGCUUGUUGUAAUGGGUAAGACUGUCCUGUAAAAAGCUGCUGACGAAAAAAAAACUUUAUCUGUACUCUUUGUCAAAAAGCUCACUUUGUUGACAAAGAUAAAUUAUUUUUUCCAAGAAACAAGCGCUUUGUAAAUACCGUACCUCAAACCAACACAGGUGGAUUGGUAGAGAAUACUAAGGCCUUAAGAUAAUCUUGUUGAAGGAACUCGGCAAAUUAACUCCGUAACUUAGGGAUAAGGAGUAAAAAAAUAAUUGUAAGUAUUAUUUUUUUGACACAAAAUCGGGAGGGGCGACUGUUUAAUAAAAACACAGGUCUCUGCUAACUUGUAAAAGGAUGUAUAGAGGCUGACACCUGCCCGGUGCCUAUAAAUGAAAUUUCAAAGUUUACGCUUUGAGUCUAAGUUUGGGUAAACGGCGGCUGUAACUCUGACGGUCCUAAGGUAGCGAAAUUCCUUGUCGGGUAAGUUCCGACCCGCAUGAAUGGUGUAACGACUUCUCCGCUGUCUCCAACAAGAUCUUAGUGAAAUUACAAAAACCGUGAAGAUGCGGUUAUCCCGCAGCUAGACGGAAAGACCCCGUGCACCUUUACUAUAGGUAAUUAUUGUAUUCCAAGGGCUUUAGUUUAGAAUAGGGGGGAGCUUUUAGCGUCCGUGAAAUACCGCCCAGAGUACCGUUGGUUUUACUAACAAAAGGACAGUGAUUAUUGGGUAGUUUGACUGGGGCGGUCGCCUCCUAAAAAGUAACGGAGGCACACAAAGGUAAGUUCAUCCCCUAAAAAAGGGAGGUAGAGUGUAAUGGUAUAAACUUGCUUGACUGUAAGACAAACAGGUCAAACAGAGACGAAAGUCGGUCAUAUUGAUCCGGUGAUUUUGAGUGGAAAAGUCAUCGCGCAAUGAAUAAAAGGUACGCCGGGGAUAACAGGCUAAUGUUCCUUUAGAGUCCACAUCGACGGGUUCGUUUGGCACCUCGAUGUCGACUCAUCACAUCCUGGGACUGGAGAAGGUUCCAAGGGUUCGGCUGUUCGCCGACGAAAGUGGUACGUGAGUUGGGUUUAGAACGUCGUGAGACAGUUUGGUCCCUAUCUUCUGUGGGUGUGUGAAAACUUAAAGGCCUAUACCUUAGUACGAGAGGACCGGGAAAAGUCGAUCCAUGGUGUUUCGGUUGUUUUUUAAGCAACGCCGAGUAGCUACAUCGGGAAGGAAGAAUUGGUCAACUUGGCGAGAAAUCUACCUUGAUUAACGUUUUCAUUGGGUAGUGGAAGAUUACCACUUUGAUAGGCGGAAAGUGUAAGAAUUGCGAAAUUUUGAGCUGAUCCGUACUAAAACCUAAAAAAAUUAACAAUA
rnacentral:rRNA from 1 species